rnacentral:rRNA from 1 species
CGAGACCGCGAGGUCGAGCCAAUCUUAAAAAGUUAGUCUCAGUUCAGAUUGUUCUCUGCAACUCGAGAACAUGAAGUUGGAAUCGCUAGUAAUCGCGGAUCAGCAUGCCGCGGUGAAUACGUUCCCGGGUCUUGUACACACCGCCCGUCACGCCAUGGGAGUUGGUUCUGCCUGACGGCGUUGAGGUAACCCGCAAGGGGGCCUGGCGACCACGGUAGGGUCAGCGACUGGGGCGAAGUCGUAACAAGGUACC